AGACCGUAUGUAUGCAAAUAUAUGUGCCCUAAAUGCUGCAACAUGAUGACUUCAAACGUUUCUCAAGGGAUGCCACCAACACCGCAAAUUAUGGGGAUGUGUAUGUGUGGAGUUGGUCUCCAUAUUUACUGUGGUUCAUCGAUGUAAAAAAGAUGGAGAAGCAAAAAUAAAAGCUAUAUUACGAAUAGUUUGAACAAUUCAUACCUAACAACAAUCAAUUAUAUUAUGCAUCUUUUGUUAAGUCUGUACUUCAUAUUUCAACUAUUUCGACAGAAAAUAAUAGUAGUGUGCA